CAUUUCAAAAAAAAGAAGUCGCAGCCAACAAGUCUCUCUCUUUAUACCUCUCUCUAACCAUCACGUCGUCGAUCAAAAAAAGAAGUCGCAGCCACCACGCCGGUCAUCGUGGCUGGUGAAACGUCGGAGCAGUCCCUACCCAUCACCGGCCUCCUCUCUCCGCUCUCUCAUUUCCAGCCGGCGGAACCAUUAAGAACCGCCGCCAACGUCACUACCUACCAGUCAGUGCUCCAGCGUCGACUCCCUCUCCGUUACUUGAGAAACGGAACUUGAUUAUAGCUGGAUAUAUCAACGAAAUAUUGAUAAUAGAAUGGGUGAGGCUGAGAAUGAAGAUGCGGAUGUUGUUUUUAGUCUUUUGUAUGUUUUAUAGUUUGGAUUUGGAACCUUGAUAAAUUUUGUAAAUAAUUUGAUUUUUAAUGUUUGUAUUUUUAUGGUGGUUGGUUGAUUGUAUA